CUUCUUACCCUUAGUAUAUGGUUAGCCUCUUAAUUUCUUAGUAUCAACGAUGGAUUAACCUGUAAAUUCCUAGGAAUUCUGGCUUUUUUAGUCCAAAAGGUCUGCACAAUAGACAAAGGACGAUUGUUAGCUGCCAGAUAAAAAUUUUCCGGGGUGUGGUUAAAGAAGUACGAUGUUAAGAACAUAGAUUAAGAGGAAGAGAUGAACAGGGUUAAAAAAAAAAAAAACUCUGGGGAAAAUAAGAAUGAAAACAUGAAGAAACAGUAGGAAAGAGGGAGUACUGAGUAGGUUUUUACAAACUGAUAUAUCAUUAGUCACUAAAAAAUUGAAAUUUACCAUUGGUUGUAUCGAAACGGUUCUUUAGCAUUAGUUUGUUUUUGAACUACUUUAUUUAAUUGAAAUAUUUUACUUUAUUGAAAUAUCCGACUAUUUCAGAUAAAGUUUUAGAUAUUAUAAAAAUUUCAUCUAUCGCCCAAAUUUAUUUAUUUUGUUACGUAUUUGUGUACGUAAGGUUCGUCUUUUUAUUUGUGGAGGCCUCA
rnacentral:lncRNA from 1 species